rnacentral:rRNA from 1 species
GAUGAACGCUGACGGCGUGCCUAAUACAUGCAAGUCGAGCGAACGGACGAGAAGCUUGCUUCUCUGAUGUUAGCGGCGGACGGGUGAGUAACACCUGGAUAACCUACCUAUAAGACUGGGAUAACUUCGGGAAACCGGAGCUAAUACCGGAUAAUAUUUUGAACCGCAUGGUUCAAAAGUGAAAGACGGUCUUGCUGUCACUUAUAGAUGGAUCCGCGCUGCAUUAGCUAGUUGGUAAGGUAACGGCUUACCAAGGCAACGAUGCAUAGCCGACCUGAGAGGGUGAUCGGCCACACUGGAACUGAGACACGGUCCAGACUCCUACGGGAGGCAGCAGUAGGGAAUCUUCCGCAAUGGGCGAAAGCCUGACGGAGCAACGCCGCGUGAGUGAUGAAGGUCUUCGGAUCGUAAAACUCUGUUAUUAGGGAAGAACAUAUGUGUAAGUAACUGUGCACAUCUUGACGGUACCUAAUCAGAAAGCCACGGCUAACUACGUG